rnacentral:rRNA from 1 species
UACGAGGGGGCUAGCGUUGCUCGGAAUCACUGGGCGUAAAGGGUGCGUAGGCGGGUCUUUAAGUCAGGGGUGAAAUCCUGGAGCUCAACUCCAGAACUGCCCUUGAUACUGAGGGUCUUGAGUAUGGGAGAGGUGAGUGGAACUGCGAGUGUAGAGGUGAAAUUCGUAGAUAUUCGCAAGAACACCAGUGGCGAAGGCGGCUCACUGGCCCAUUACUGACGCUGAGGCACGAAAGCGUGGGGAGCAAACAGG